GAAGAGGACAAAGAAACCUUCGCUAAAGAACCGAGGCACAGUUGGGCUACCAUGUCUGCCUCACAACCCUGAAGUUCCAUUAACUGUAGAAGAACUGUUAGGUCAGGGCUUGAAGCGUGGUGAUGGAGCACCUGGAGAAGGGCUGUGUCUGCCCAGGGAGCACAAAUUGUUUGCUCCUGUGCUCCUUAGCUGACCAGAAGGGGUGGGCUGUGAGAGGAGCCACCCAUAGUUCAUAUAAAGGCCAGCCACUGAAGAGAGAGCAUUUGUUGAACCUGGGCUGUUUCAUGGGGAGUGCUGCAGUGCCAGAGAGACCCUUCACCAGCUGGGAAAACAGCAACGCUGAAGCCUGGAUCACAUCUCCUUUAAAUGUCAGAUUUCAUCCACUUGAGCUCUGGGGACAAAAGUGAGAGGCACAAGAACAAGAGAGGCUGGCAUACAGGUUCUUGGAAAGGAAAACCCAGACAGAUGCACUGCCAAAGAACUGAUGAGGAGAAGAAUAUGCUUUGCCUAUGGUUCAGCGGUUCAGUUUCAAAUAGAUGCAUAAAUAUUGAGUGUAGCUGGGAAGGAAGAAUAGCAUUGCUUUGCGAGACAGUCCAGAGACCCACUAAAGCUCAGCUGCUCAAUAAAGAGUGAAUCAGGAAUAAAAAGGAGAAGGAAGAAAGCUGAAAUCUUGUUGGAGAAAUAAGGCAAAUGCUGUUUAUUAAAAUGUAAUAAAAUCUGAUGAGCACCUUAGGCGAUAGUAAGAAUUAAAACCAGUUGUUCACAUCACUCAAAGAAUCAAAAUUACUUUCUGGCUCUUUCUGCCUCUGAAUAGCUCAUUCUACUCAAACCAGCUGGUAUCCCAAGUAAAGGGCAGACACAACUGCAGUGGACGUUUCAAAACUG